CCUACGGGGGGCAGCAGUGAGGAAUAUUGGUCAAUGGCCGUAAGGCUGAACCAGCCAAGUCGCGUGAAGGAAGAAGGAUCUAUGGUUUGUAAACUUCUUUUAUAGGGGAAUAAAGGUAUCCACGUGUGGAUAUUUGCAUGUACCCUAUGAAUAAGCAUCGGCUAACUCCGUGCCAGCAGCCGCGGUAAUACGGAGGAUGCGAGCGUUAUCCGGAUUUAUUGGGUUUAAAGGGUGCGUAGGUUGUUUUUUAAGUCAGCGGUGAAAGUUUGUGGCUCAACCAUAAAAUUGCCGUUGAAACUGGAAGACUUGAGUGUGUUUGAGGUAGGCGGAAUGCGUGGUGUAGCGGUGAAAUGCAUAGAUAUCACGCAGAACUCCGAUUGCGAAGGCAGCUUACUAAGCCAUAACUGACGUUGAGGCUCGAAAGCGUGGGGAGCAAACAGGAUUAGAUACCCUUGUAGUC
rnacentral:rRNA from 1 species